UGUGUCGAGGGAUAGACACAGGCCGCCAGGAUGGUAGCCAGGAAAACCGCAGGAAGUGGUUUCAUCAGGACGAUGAAAUAGGAAAUAAAGGGAGUAGGGACAAAAGAAUGGGCGGGUAAAACCGCCCCUUUUUUU
rnacentral:sRNA from 2 species